rnacentral:rRNA from 1 species
AUGAGGCGAACCGGGGGAACUGAAACAUCUAAGUACCCCGAGGAAAAGAAAUCAACCGAGAUUCCCCCAGUAGCGGCGAGCGAACGGGGAGGAGCCCAGAGCCUGAAUCAGUGUGUGUGUUAGUGGAAGCGUCUGGAAAGGCGCGCGAUACAGGGUGACAGCCCCGUACACAAAAAUGCACAUGCUGUGAGCUCGAUGAGUAGGGCGGGACACGUGGUAUCCUGUCUGAAUAUGGGGGGACCAUCCUCCAAGGCUAAAUACUCCUGACUGACCGAUAGUGAACCAGUACCGUGAGGGAAAGGCGAAAAGAACCCCGGCGAGGGGAGUGAAAAAGAACCUGAAACCGUGUACGUACAAGCAGUGGGAGCACAGAGCAAUCUGUGUGACUGCGUACCUUUUGUAUAAUGGGUCAGCGACUUAUAUUCUGUAGCAAGGUUAACCGAAUAGGGGAGCCGAAGGGAAACCGAGUCUUAACUGGGCGUUAAGUUGCAGGGUAUAGACCCGAAACCCGGUGAUCUAGCCAUGGGCAGGUUGAAGGUUGGGUAACACUAACUGGAGGACCGAACCGACUAAUGUUGAAAAAUUAGCGGAUGACUUGUGGCUGGGGGUGAAAGGCCAAUCAAACCGGGAGAUAGCUGGUUCUCCCCGAAAGCUAUUUAGGUAGCGCCUCGUGAAUUCAUCUCCGGGGGUAGAGCACUGUUUCGGCAAGGGGGUCAUCCCGACUUACCAACCCGAUGCAAACUGCGAAUACCGGAGAAUGUUAUCACGGGAGACACACGGCGGGUGCUAACGUCCGUCGUGAAGAGGGAAACAACCCAGACCGCCAGCUAAGGUCCCAAAGUCAUGGUUAAGUGGGAAACGAUGUGGGAAGGCCCAGACAGCCAGGAUGUUGGCUUAGAAGCAGCCAUCAUUUAAAGAAAGCGUAAUAGCUCACUGGUCGAGUCGGCCUGCGCGGAAGAUGUAACGGGGCUAAACCAUGCACCGAAGCUGCGGCAGCGACGCUGAUGCGUUGUUGGGUAGGGGAGCGUUCUGUAAGCCUGUGAAGGUGUGCUGUGAGGCAUGCUGGAGGUAUCAGAAGUGCGAAUGCUGACAUAAGUAACGAUAAAGCGGGUGAAAAGCCC